ensembl:snRNA U6 U6 spliceosomal RNA
UUGCUUCCGCAGCAGAUAUAGUAAAAUUGGAAUGAUACAGUGAAGAUUAGCAUGGCCCCUGCAUAAGGAUAACAGACAAAUGCAUGAAGAAUUCCAUAUUUUU